UACGUAGGUGGCAAGCGUUGUCCGGAAUUAUUGGGCGUAAAGCGCGCGCAGGCGGUCCUUUAAGUCUGAUGUGAAAGCCCACGGCUCAACCGUGGAGGGUCAUUGGAAACUGGAGGACUUGAGUACAGAAGAGAAGAGUGGAAUUCCACGUGUAGCGGUGAAAUGCGUAGAGAUGUGGAGGAACACCAGUGGCGAAGGCGACUCUUUGGUCUGUAACUGACGCUGAGGCGCGAAAGCGUGGGGAGCAAACAGG
rnacentral:rRNA from 1 species